rnacentral:rRNA from 1 species
UACAGCGGGAAGCCAUAUGGCGACAUAGAGCGGAACCCGAAAACCUGUCUCAGUUCGGAUUGGAGUCUGCAACCCGACUCCAUGAAGCUGGAUUCGCUAGUAAUCGCGCAUCAGCCACGGCGCGGUGAAUACGUUCCCGGGCCUUGUACACACCGCCCGUCAAGCCAUGGAAGCCGGGAGUGCCUGAAGUGCGUGAGCGCAAGCAGCGCCCUAAGGUAAAACCGGUGACUGGGGCUAAGUCGUAACAAGGUACC